rnacentral:lncRNA from 1 species
AAGAGCGGAGCCGAGCACCCCACCCAGGUCCCACCUGAGACCCCUGAAGGGGUAGAAAAGAGAGAAACCACCACGAGGAGACCGGACAGCGAGCCAGGGACCCGCCGGAGGACGUUUAAGGGGUUUGAGGAGACUGUUGCGUUGCCCCUAAUCAGUUGAGAGCUUUGGGUAACGAGGGGAUGAAAAGAUGUGGCAAAUACUUCUCUAAGUGUGGGAGGGUGAGGCUGGAGCGGCACUGUGCAUUCAGGUGAGCCAUCCAGCACGCAACAAACAGGCGUUGUAAUUCUUAAAACCACCCACCCGCAUUCCAGGUGAGCGGUCCCUGGACACCAGGUGUGUGUGUUCCGCAGGGUGGGGGUGGGAGGGGGGGUGGAGGUUCUUAGACAAAAUUACAAAGCGACUCUUCCCAAACUAGUAUUUGAAUACUAUAUAUGGACUUUAGGCAAGCUACUGUGACAUCAGUUUUCCUAAUAGCUAAAUGCUGAUGUUGAGGCCAGUCGGCCUUUCCUCCACCAACCUCUCUCCAGCCCUUACACUGGUUCUGUAUUUGCUGUAGCUCCUCUAAAAGGCAGUGUUGAAAUUUAUUCCAAAGGUGCUACUUCUGAUGACCGAAAUGUCAGUCCCAGAUGUUUAAUUACAGGCCCAAGCCAGUAAGUAGUUCCCUGACUUUUCUUUGGCACUGAUAACUCCUUCAGUAAUCAAGUCCAAAUGACCCUUAGCUUUUUAAGACAACAUAAUUAUGUCUUGAUUACUAUAAUUUAUUAUUUUUUUUAUUCACACUAACGGGACAGGCCCUGGAGAUGCAGGAUGUUAUAUGAUUACUUAUGCGCAUUUUAAGAUGCUACAGAAAUGAUUUAUUGAUGCAAAAUUCUUACGGGGUAAAUGUCCAACAGAUUUAGAGUGGAUUAUUCUAAUAUGAACUGAAGGAUGGUAAUUUGUACAUCACACUGCUUGUUUUAAAACGCUUUGUUUGAAAAUCAGAAACUUCGAAACAAAUGUAAUUCUGGCAAAGAAUUAAGGCCCACAUGUCAAAAUCCAGUCCAUUUGCAAGGGGCUCCCCUUAAAUCAUCUGGUACUGACAAGCACAACCUCCCAUGAAUUACUCCUGGCAAAUGGGCGGAUUUCAGCCUUCAUGUACUAGCAGUGAUAAUGGGACUAAGGGCAGAUGAUCUAAGUAAGCUAGGGGUAAAUAAACUGCAAGACAAUAAAUGAGGGAUUUAAAAGACACAUGGUCUUAUCAUUCAGUUUAGCUCCCCAGAAGCUGGGCAGUGGGAAGAGGAUACUCAGGAAGACUGUCGAGUAUUCCCUCCCUUUCCUCUUCUUUGUAUCUUUAACUGUGUAUUACAUAAGCAUCUGUUUUUCUUAAUUCCCUUACAACACCUAACAUAGUUCUUUGCCCAGAGUCUAAGGAGUUGUUUAAAAAGAAAAGGAAAUGAGCACAGUAAUUUGUGGACUGACUUACAGGAGUGCUGAGCUGAGUGUAAGGAAAAACUUGUUUAAAAGGACUGUAAUAAUUAAGCCAUAUGUAAAAUAGUUUAGUUGGCCUUAUAUACAAACACCUAAACUCAUAAAGAAUGCAUUGUCAUACAACCUAGCUCAUAUUAGUGUGAGUGGAGAGUGAAGUAAUUGUGUCGAUUCUGCCGACUUGACAGAAAAGCAGUAGCUGUUGUAAAGGCUUCGAGAAGUCUGUUGAAGAGAGGAGAAAGAGCUAAGGUUACUUGAAUGCAUGACAAGUGCCGGGAGCUCUGCUGGUGUUUUACACAUGGUACUUUAUGUAAUCCCUACAAACAUCUCUGAGCCUAUUGUUUUUCAUCCCUAUUUUACAGCUAAGGAGACUGAGGCAUAGAUGAUAAAUUACGCUACUAGGAAGGGGUGAAGUAGUAUGGGGGGAUCAAGCCUCAUUCCAAAGUCAUAUCUAGUCUUUUGACUGUACUGAUCUGUCCUAUUCUCCCUACAUUUAAAAGAAAAAAAAAAGGCACUCAAAAACUAUAUUCAUUGGGCUCUUGCGGUUUGAAGUAACGUGUGCCCUCAAGUUGCCUCAAGUCACAGGGGUAAAGGAUACAUGUGGAAAUAAGACCUGAGGCUUAACCGGCUUGUCAGGUCGUCCUUUGUGGGCCUGGGAGGUGGGGGCCUGUGCCUUUGAUAGGCAUCAGGAACCAGAAAAGUACUACCACAUUCUGACCACAUUCCUAUGAGCUUUGUACCUGGACGACUGAGACUUAAAUCACGUAUUUCACCACGUUUUCUCUAAUGUCUUUUUUAUUAUGAUCUUAAUACCAACCGCGGCAACAUACUACCUUAAGCAUUGUUUGCUUUUCAGACAAAGGACCCACAAGAAGAGGUGACUGCUU